AAAGCUUGGAAGAGUUCAGCGGUCGUUGAAGUGUAGCAAUUGUCAAAGAGUUGGCCACAACGUGAAGACAUGUCACUGACAUCUUCCACCAAAAGAUAAGUAAGCUGCAAAUGUGAACAAGAAAAGGAAGCUCAACAAUGGAGAAGGAAGUUCAUCUAAAAAAGCCCAGCCUAAACCUGGAAGAAAGCCACCAUUGAGUAAGAAUGACUUGAGGAAAAACCAUCUAAAAGUGGUAGAAUAUCAAAGGAAGAAGAUGGCUGCAUUGAAGGCAUCUAGAAAAGCUACUGCU